rnacentral:rRNA from 1 species
GAUGAACGCUAGCGACAGGCCUAACACAUGCAAGUCGAGGGGCAGCACAAGGAGCAAUCUGAGGUGGCGACCGGCGCACGGGUGAGUAACACGUAUGCAACCUACCUGUAAGCGGGGAAUAACCCGUUGAAAGACGGACUAAUACCGCAUAAUACUGGAGAUCUGCAUGGAUAUUCAGUUAAACAUUUAUGGCUUACAGAUGGGCAUGCGCAUGAUUAGAUAGUUGGAGAGGUAACGGCUCCCCAAGUCAACGAUCAUUAGGGGUUCUGAGAGGAAGGUCCCCCACACUGGUACUGAGACACGGACCAGACUCCUACGGGAGGCAGCAGUAGGGAAUUUUCGGCAAUGGGGGAAACCCUGACCGAGCAAUGCCGCGUGAACGAUGAAGGUCUUCGGAUUGUAAAGUUCUGUGAUUGGGGAAGAAUGGUAUUCUUAGGGAAUGAGGAGUACAUGACGGUACCCGAUUAGAAAGCCCCGGCUAACUAUGUGCCAGC